GAUGAACGCUGGCGGCGUGCCUAAUACAUGCCAGUCGAGCGAACAGACGAGGAGCUUGCUCCUCUGACGUUAGCGGCGGACGGGUGAGUAACACGUGGAUAACCUACCUAUAAGACUGGGAUAACUUCGGGAAACCGGAGCUAAUACCGGAUAAUAUAUUGAACCGCAUGGUUCAAUAGUGAAAGACGGUUUUGCUGUCACUUAUAGAUGGAUCCGCGCCGCAUUAGCUAGUUGGUAAGGUAACGGCUUACCAAGGCAACGAUGCGUAGCCGACCUGAGAGGGUGAUCGGCCACACUGGAACUGAGACACGGUCCAGACUCCUACGGGAGGCAGCAGUAGGGAAUCUUCCGCAAUGGGCGAAAGCUUGACGGAGCAACGCCGCGUGAGUGAUGAAGGUCUUCGGAUCGUAAAACUCUGUUAUUAGGGAAGAACAAAUGUGUAAGUAACUAUGCACGUCUUGACGGUACCUAAUCAGAAAGCCACGGCGAACUACGU
rnacentral:rRNA from 1 species